UGACGUAGUUAAAAUUAAGUCAAAACUCAAAAAUAAACUAAACUAAAUAUGAGUAACUGUAUUAAAUAACAUAAUUAAUUUAUACAGUAUAUAAAUAUGUUUAAAUUAUAAAAAUUAAAAAAAAAAAAAGCAUGGAAGAGAUCUCGUGGUGCUUAGAUGAAAGACUCAUGAUUAUUGAAGGGAGGGCCGGAGAAGAAGUUCUGGAUGUGCGGCGUUUAUCUCUGUUCAUGACGGGUUUGGUAUGCGGGUUAUAAUAUUUAAAACGGAUCUAGUGUUUCUACGGUAAGCUUAUGUGGUUUUUUCCUUUAUAGUCAAUGGACUUAGUUUAUGAUUCAUUGAAAUAUUUGAAUAUUUCUUGUACGUUGCGUUUGGACUUUUAUAAUAAAAUUUAUUUUUGAAAAAAAAAAAAAAAAAA